rnacentral:rRNA from 1 species
CAGUAGGGAAUCUUCGGCAAUGGGGGCAACCCUGACCGAGCAACGCCGCGUGAGUGAAGAAGGUUUUCGGAUCGUAAAGCCCUGUUGUAAGAGAAGAACGUGUGUGAGAGUGGAAAGUUCACACAGUGACGGUAACUUACCAGAAAGGGACGGCUAACUACGUGCCAC